rnacentral:tRNA from 1 species
GUAAUAUUAUUAUAUAAUAAGUAUAUUUGCUUUCCAAGCAUAAGGAAUCUAAAAAAUAUAUUAUA